rnacentral:rRNA from 1 species
AGAGUUUGAUCCUGGCUCAGGAUGAACGCUAGCUACAGGCUUAACACAUGCAAGUCGAGGGGCAGCAUCAUCAAAGCUUGCUUUGAUGGAUGGCGACCGGCGCACGGGUGAGUAACACGUAUCCAACCUGCCGACAACACUGGGAUAGCCUUUCGAAAGAAAGAUUAAUACCGGAUGGCAUAAUUAUUCCGCAUGGGAUAAUUAUUAAAGAAUUUCGGUUGUCGAUGGGGAUGCGUUCCAUUAGGCAGUUGGCGGGGUAACGGCCCACCAAACCUACGAUGGAUAGGGGUUCUGAGAGGAAGGUCCCCCACAUUGGAACUGAGACACGGUCCAAACUCCUACGGGAGGCAGCAGUGAGGAAUAUUGGUCAAUGGACGAGAGUCUGAACCAGCCAAGUAGCGUGAAGGAUGACUGCCCUAUGGGUUGUAAACUUCUUUUAUAAAGGAAUAAAGUCGGGUAUGCAUACCCGUUUGCAUGUACUUUAUGAAUAAGGAUCGGCUAACUCCGUGCCAGCAGCCGCGGUAAUACGGAGGAUCCGAGCGUUAUCCGGAUUUAUUGGGUUUAAAGGGAGCGUAGGCGGGUUGUUAAGUCAGUUGUGAAAGUUUGCGGCUCAACCGUAAAAUUGCAGUUGAUACUGGCGACCUUGAGUGCAACAGAGGUAGGCGGAAUUCGUGGUGUAGCGGUGAAAUGCUUAGAUAUCACGAAGAACUCCGAUUGCGAAGGCAGCUCACUGGACUGCAACUGACACUGAUGCUCGAAAGUGUGGGUAUCAAACAGGAUUAGAUACCCUGGUAGUCCACACAGUAAACGAUGAAUACUCGCUGUUUGCGAUAUACGGCAAGCGGCCAAGCGAAAGCGUUAAGUAUUCCACCUGGGGAGUACGCCGGCAACGGUGAAACUCAAAGGAAUUGACGGGGGCCCG